rnacentral:rRNA from 1 species
GAUGAACGCUGGCGGCGUGCCUAAUACAUGCAAGUCGAGCGAAUGGAUUAAGAGCUUGCUCUUAUGAAGUUAGCGGCGGACGGGUGAGUAACACGUGGGUAACCUGCCCAUAAGACUGGGAUAACUCCGGGAAACCGGGGCUAAUACCGGAUAACAUUUUGAACCGCAUGGUUCGAAAUUGAAAGGCGGCUUCGGCUGUCACUUAUGGAUGGACCCGCGUCGCAUUAGCUAGUUGGUGAGGUAACGGCUCACCAAGGCAACGAUGCGUAGCCGACCUGAGAGGGUGAUCGGCCACACUGGGACUGAGACACGGCCCAGACUCCUACGGGAGGCAGCAGUAGGGAAUCUUCCGCAAUGGACGAAAGUCUGACGGAGCAACGCCGCGUGAGUGAUGAAGGCUUUCGGGCCGUAAAACUCUGUUGUUAGGGAAGAACAAGUGCUAGUUGAAUAAGCUGACACCUUGACGGUACCUAACCAGAAAGCCACGGCUAACUACGUGCCAGCAGCCGCCGCGG